rnacentral:ncRNA from 1 species
UGAUAGAGGCGCGGCCGACAUCAGUAGCCCCGGAAAAGCGGCGGGAACCGCGGGGGGGAAAGGGGAGGCCGCCGAAGAGUGCCGGACCUUCCCGGGCGGGCAACUCUGGGCCGACGGAGAACAUCCGGCGGACUGUCGCGUAAGCGGAGCGCUGUCA